AAAUUGAAGAGUUUGAUCAUGGCUCAGAUUGAACGCUGGCGGCAGGCCUAACACAUGCAAGUCGAACGGUAACAGGAAGCAGCUUGCUGCUUUGCUGACGAGUGGCGGACGGGUGAGUAAUGUCUGGGAAACUGCCCGAUGGAGGGGGAUAACUACUGGAAACGGUAGCUAAUACCGCAUAACGUCGCAAGACCAAAGAGGGGGACCUUAGGGCCUCUUGCCAUCGGAUGUGCCCAGAUGGGAUUAGCUAGUAGGUGGGGUAAUGGCUCACCUAGGCGACGAUCCCUAGCUGGUCUGAGAGGAUGACCAGCCACACUGGAACUGAGACACGGU
rnacentral:rRNA from 1 species